GUCUAUGGCUAUGCUAUCCUGAACAAGCCUGAUCCCGUCUGAUCUCGGAAGCUAAGCAAGUUUGGGCCUAGUUAGUACUUAGAUGGGAGACCACCUAGGAAGACCAGGUGCUGUAGGUG
rnacentral:rRNA from 1 species